rnacentral:rRNA from 1 species
UACGGAGGGUGCAAGCGUUAUCCGGAUUUACUGGGUUUAAAGGGUGCGUAGGCGGCCUGUUAAGUCAGGGGUGAAAUCCCGGAGCUCAACUCCGGAACUGCCUUUGAUACUAUCAGGCUUGAAUUAUGUUGAGGUUGGCGGAAUACAACAUGUAGCGGUGAAAUGCAUAGAUAUGUUGUAGAACACCGAUUGCGAAGGCAGCUGACUAAACAUAUAUUGACGCUGAGGCACGAAAGCGUGGGGAUCAAACAGG